rnacentral:rRNA from 2 species
UAAUUGGGCGUUAAGUUGCAGGGUAUAGACCCGAAACCCGGUGAUCUAGCCAUGGGCAGGUUGAAGGUUGGGUAACACUAACUGGAGGACCGAACCGACUAAUGUUGAAAAAUUAGCGGAUGACCUGUGGCUGGGGGUGAAAGGCCAAUCAAACCGGGAGAUAGCUGGUUCUCCCCGAAAGCUAUUUAGGUAGCGCCUCGUGAAUUCAUCUCCGGGGGUAGAGCACUGUUUCGGCUAGGGGGCCAUCCCGGCUUACCAACCCGAUGCAAACUGCGAAUACCGGAGAAUGUUAUCACGGGAGACACACGGCGGGUGCUAACGUCCGUCGUGAAGAGGGAAACAACCCAGACCGCCAGCUAAGGUCCCAAAGUCAUGGUUAAGUGGGAAACGAUGUGGGAAGGCCCAGACAGCCAGGAUGUUGGCUUAGAAGCAGCCAUCAUUUAAAGAAAGCGUAAUAGCUCACUGGUCGAGUCGGCCUGCGCGGAAGAUGUAACGGGGCUAAACCAUGCACCGAAGCUGCGGCAGCGACACUGUGUGUUGUUGGGUAGGGGAGCGUUCUGUAAGCCUGCGAAGGUGGCCUGUGAGGGUUGCUGGAGGUAUCAGAAGUGCGAAUGCUGACAUAAGUAACGAUAAAGCGGGUGAAAAGCCCGCUCGCCGGAAGACCAAGGGUUCCUGUCCAACGUUAAUCGGGGCAGGGUGAGUCGACCCCUAAGGCGAGGCCGAAAGGCGUAGUCGAUGGGAAACGGGUUAAUAUUCCCGUACUUGGUGUUACUGCGAAGGGGGGACGGAGAAGGCUAUGUUGGCCGGGCGACGGUUGUCCCGGUUUAAGCGUGUAGGUGUGUGUUCCAGGUAAAUCCGGUUCACUUUAACACUGAGGCGUGACGACGAGGCACUACGGUGCUGAAGCAACAAAUGCCCUGCUUCCAGGAAAAGCCUCUAAGCAUCAGGUAACAUCAAAUCGUACCCCAAACCGACACAGGUGGUCAGGUAGAGAAUACCAAGGCGCUUGAGAGAACUCGGGUGAAGGAACUAGGCAAAAUGGUGCCGUAACUUCGGGAGAAGGCACGCUGACACGUAGGUGAAGUGAUUUACUCAUGGAGCUGAAGUCAGUCGAAGAUACCAGCUGGCUGCAACUGUUUAUUAAAAACACAGCACUGUGCAAACACGAAAGUGGACGUAUACGGUGUGACGCCUGCCCGGUGCCGGAAGGUUAAUUGAUGGGGUCAGCGCAAGCGAAGCUCCUGAUCGAAGCCCCGGUAAACGGCGGCCGUAACUAUAACGGUCCUAAGGUAGCGAAAUUCCUUGUCGGGUAAGUUCCGACCUGCACGAAUGGCGUAAUGAUGGCCAGGCUGUCUCCACCCGAGACUCAGUGAAAUUGAACUCGCUGUGAAGAUGCAGUGUACCCGCGGCAAGACGGAAAGACCCCGUGAACCUUUACUAUAGCUUGACACUGAACAUUGAGCCUUGAUGUGUAGGAUAGGUGGGAGGCUUUGAAGUGUGGACGCCAGUCUGCAUGGAGCCGACCUUGAAAUACCACCCUUUAAUGUUUGAUGUUCUAACGUGGACCCGUUACCCGGGUUGCGGACAGUGUCUGGUGGGUAGUUUGACUGGGGCGGUCUCCUCCUAAAGAGUAACGGAGGAGCACGAAGGUUGGCUAAUCCUGGUCGGACAUCAGGAGGUUAGUGCAAUGGCAUAAGCCAGCUUGACUGCGAGCGUGACGGCGCGAGCAGGUGCGAAAGCAGGUCAUAGUGAUCCGGUGGUUCUGAAUGGAAGGGCCAUCGCUCAACGGAUAAAAGGUACUCCGGGGAUAACAGGCUGAUACCGCCCAAGAGUUCAUAUCGACGGCGGUGUUUGGCACCUCGAUGUCGGCUCAUCACAUCCUGGGGCUGAAGUAGGUCCCAAGGGUAUGGCUGUUCGCCAUUUAAAGUGGUACGCGAGCUGGGUUUAGAACGUCGUGAGACAGUUCGGUCCCUAUCUGCCGUGGGCGCUGGAGAACUGAGGGGGGCUGCUCCUAGUACGAGAGGACCGGAGUGGACGCAUCACUGGUGUUCGGGUUGUCAUGCCAAUGGCACUGCCCGGUAGCUAAAUGCGGAAGAGAUAAGUGCUGAAAGCAUCUAAGCACGAAACUUGCCCCGAG